rnacentral:rRNA from 1 species
AUACGUAGGGGGCGAGCGUUGUCCGGAAUGAUUGGGCGUAAAGGGCGCGUAGGCGGCCCGGUAAGUCUGGAGUGAAAGUCCUGUUUUUAAGAUGGGAAUUGCUUUGGAUACUGUCGGGCUUGAGUGCAGGAGAGGUAAGUGGAAUUCCCAGUGUAGCGGUGAAAUGCGUAGAGAUUGGGAGGAACACCAGUGGCGAAGGCGACUUACUGGACUGUAACUGACGCUGAGGCGCGAAAGGGUGGGGAGCAAACAGGAUUAGAUACCCUGGUAGUCCACACUGUAAACGAUGAAUGCUAGGUGUAGGGGGUAUCGACCCCUUCUGUGCCGCAGUCAACACAAUAAGCAUUCCGCCUGGGGAGUACGGCCGCAAGGUUGAAACUCAAAGGAAUUGACGGGG